UCCCUGGUGGCUCAGAGGUUAAAGCAUCUGCCUGGAAUGCUGGAGACCUGGGUUCAAUCCCUGGGUUGGGAA
rnacentral:tRNA from 1 species